AUUAAACGCUGGCGGCAUGCCUUACACAUGCAAGUCGAACGGCAGCACGGGGGCAACCCUGGUGGCGAGUGGCGGACGGGUGAGUAAUGCAUCGGAACGUGCCCUGAAGUGGGGGACAACGCAGCGAAAGCUACGCUAAUACCGCAUAUUCUGUGAGCAGGAAAGCAGGGGAUCGCAAGACCUUGCGCUUUGGGAGCGGCCGAUGUCGGAUUAGCUAGUUGGUGGGGUAAAGGCCUACCAAGGCGACGAUCCGUAGCGGGUCUGAGAGGAUGAUCCGCCACACUGGGACUGAGACACGGCCCAGACUCCUACGGGAGGCAGCAGUGGGGAAUUUUGGACAAUGGGCGGAAGCCUGAUCCAGCCAUGCCGCGUGAGUGAAGAAGGCC
rnacentral:rRNA from 1 species